UACAGAGGUCCCAAGCGUUGUUCGGAUUUACUGGGCGUAAAGGGUGCGUAGGCGGUUAUUUAAGUCUGACGUGAAAUCUCCGGGCCUAACCCGGAAACUGCGUUGGAUACUAUUUAGCUAGAGGAGUGGAGGGGAGACUGGAAUACUUGGUGUAGCAGUGAAAUGCGUAGAUAUCAAGUGGAACACCAGUGGCGAAGGCGAGUCUCUGGACAUUUCCUGACGCUGAGGCACGAAAGCCAGGGGAGCAAACGGG
rnacentral:rRNA from 1 species